rnacentral:lncRNA from 1 species
UCUGGGACCGUGCGCUCUGCCCUGCCUGGAAAUGCCUGAAACCAGGAUAAAUCAGUGCUGCUUCAGAGUGAGAUCCUUCAUAAAUUUCACAUAUUAUAUUGACGAAUAAGGAUCCUCUAGGCUCUACUCAUCUCUCUGAUAUACACAAGCCAGCUCUGUGAUGCAGUUGUUGCAGCACUGGUGCAGGAGGAGGAGCCCGAUUGCUGCAACAAAGGAGCCAGAUGUUGCAGAGAGGAAGCAGUCCUCCUGUUGAUUUGUUCCAGUGGAAAAAAAAAAAAAAAAAAAAAACAACUAUAAACAGCCAAGGAUGGUAA